rnacentral:rRNA from 1 species
AGCGGAGGACAAGAAACUAAAUAGGAUUCCCUUAGUAAUGGCGAAUGAACAGGGAUAAGCUCAACUUGAUAAUUGUGGCUUCUGGCUUUGAAUUGUAAUCUCAAGAUGUAGUGCCAAGGAGGGCGUAGGUGUAAGCCUCUUGGAAAAGAGAAUCAUUGAGGGUGAGAAUCCUGUUUGUCACCUGCAGUCCCUCCUGUACGGCCUACCUUCUAAGAGUCACGUUCCUCGGGAUUGGAGCGCAAACUGGGUGGUAAAUUUCAUCUCAAGCUAAAUAUGGGUUCGAAACCGAUAGCAAACAAGUACCAUGAGGGAAAGAUGAAAAGGACUUUGAAAAGAGAGUUAAAAGUGCCUGAACUUGCUGAAAGGAAANCGGAUGGAACCAGUGUUGCUCGGUGAGAUUGUUGCGCGCUAUGGUGAUGGCCUGCUGCAUCAGCGCAAGCGUUGCUGUGGGUUUUGAUCUUGAUGCGCGUGAUGCUUCUUGCCUUGUGUGUCAUCGUCGGUUCNAUGGUGAGGACAACCCUUGGGACAUGGUANCUCGCCUCUGGGUGUGUGAACGUGCCUUGUGGAACUCACCUUCNAACUGCAAACCGAAUGUGCGGUUGCGCUGCCCUCGCUCUGCGUCACUGCCCCUCGCCCUCNUGCGUGCUGGGUGGUGUCGCGCCGCGCGGGGCACCUUCUGCACACAGCUAUGGUGACUAAAUGGUUCNAUUCGACCCGUCUUGAAACACG